rnacentral:misc_RNA from 1 species
GAUGAAGAACGCAGCGAAGUGCGAUAAGUAGUGUGAAUUGCAGAUUCCGUGAAUCAUCGAAUUUUUGAACGCAAAUUGCACUCUCUGGUACUCCGGAGAGUAUGCCUAUUUGAGGGUCGGUUUAAACAAAAAUCGAUUUGUUCUUGAACAUGUCGGAAUUGGGUUAUCUUGAACUUGUUCAAGAGACCUAAAAUUUAUCAUAACUUCGGUAUGAUUUACGUACUAAAUUUUGUCGUUUGAAAUACCGAAAACGUAUUAGAUGUAACUAUUAUUGUAAUGGUAUUACGUCUAUAAUUUUCGAAUUUCGACCUCAAAUUAGGUAAGAAUACCCGCUGAACUUAAGCAUAUCAAUAAGCGGAGGA